AGAUGGCCGGAUGGCUGCUCCACGCUCAAGCGCGGAGAGGAAAGUCCGGGCUCCACGGAAACACGGUGCCGGGUAAUACCCGGCGGGGGCGACCCUAGGGACAGUGCAACAGAAAGUAGACCGCCUGCGCGCUUCGGUCCGUGGGCAAGGGUGAAAGGGUGCGGUAAGAGCGCACCGCGUCGCCGGCAACGGCGGCGGCACGGUAAACCCCACCAGGAGCAAGACCAAAUAGGGACGGCGCAGGUCCUGUCUCGGCAGGGCCGAGGCCCGGUUUCCGGGGCCGCUGUCCGGGUAGGUCGCACGAGGCGUCCGGUAACGGCCGUCCUAGAGGAAUAGCCAUCACCCGCAAGGGUACAGAACCCGGCUUACAGGCCGUCUG
rnacentral:RNase_P_RNA from 1 species